rnacentral:rRNA from 1 species
AGUGAACGCUGGCGGUAGGCCUAACACAUGCAAGUCGAACGGCAGCACAGUAAGAGCUUGCUCUUACGGGUGGCGAGUGGCGGACGGGUGGGGAAUACAUCGGAAUCUACUUUUUCGUGGGGGAUAACGUAGGGAGAAUUACGCUAAUACCGCAUACGACCUACGGGUGAAAGCAGGGGAUCUUCGGACCUUGCGCGAUUGAAUGAGCCGAUGUCGGAUUAGCUAGUUGGCGGGGUAAAGGCCCACCAAGGCGACGAUCCGUAGCUGGUCUGAGAGGAUGAUCAGCCACACUGGAACUGAGACACGGUCCAGACUCCUACGGAAGGCAGCAGUGGGGAAUAUUGGAAAAUGGGCGCAAGCCUGAUACAGCCAUACCGCGUGGGUGAAGAAGGCCUUCGGAUUGUAAAGCCCUUUUAUUGGGAAAGAAAAGCAGCAGGUUAAUACCCCGCUGUUCUGACGGUACCCAAAGAAUAAGCACCGGCUAACUUCGUG